rnacentral:rRNA from 1 species
CCAAUAGCGUAUAUUAAAGUUGUUGCAGUUAAAAAGCUCGUAGUUGAAUUUCGGGACUAGUACGCUGGUCAUGCCUUUGGUAUGUACUGGUGUUACUGGUUCCUACCUUCUGACGAACCGUCAUGUCAUUCAUUUGGUGUGGCGGGGAAUCAGGACUGUUACUUUGAAAAAAUUAGAGUGUUUAAAGCAGGCUCGCGCUUGAAUACAUUAGCAUGGAAUAAUGAAAUAGGACGUUUGAUCCUAUUUUGUUGGUUUCUAGGAUUGACGUAAUGAUUAAUAGGGAUAGUUGGGGGCAUUAGUAUUCAAUUGUCAGAGGUGAAAUUCUUGGAUUUAUUGAAGACUAACUACUGCGAAAGCAUUUGCCAAGGAUGUUUUCAUUAAUCAAGAACGAAAGUUAGGGGGUCGAAGACGAUCAGAUACCGUCGUAGUCUUAACCAUAAACUAUGCCGACUAGUGAUCGGAUGAUGUUAUUUUUAAUGACUCAUUCGGCGCCUUACG